rnacentral:rRNA from 1 species
UACGUAGGGUGCGAGCGUUGCCCGGAUUUAUUGGGCGUAAAGGGCGCGUAGGCGGCCAUGCGUGUCUUCCGUGAAAUCCCUCGGCUUAACCGAGGACGUGCGGAAGAAACUGCAAGGCUCGAGUCCGGAAGAGGGGGGCGGAAUUCCCAGUGUAGCGGUGAAAUGCGCAGAUAUUGGGAAGAACACCAGUGGCGAAGGCGGUUCUCUGGGACGGUACUGACGCUGAGACGCGAAAGCGUGGGGAGCGAACAGG